rnacentral:rRNA from 1 species
AUGGUUACGUUACUAAGGGCACACGGUGGAUGCCUUGGCUGCCGAACCGAUGA